UAUGUAGGGUGCGAGCGUUAAUCGGAAUUACUGGGCGUAAAGCGUGCGCAGGCGGUUUUGUAAGACAGAUGUGAAAUCCCCGGGCUUAACCUGGGAACUGCAUUUGUGACUGCAAGACUAGAGUACGGCAGAGGGGGGUAGAAUUCCACGUGUAGCAGUGAAAUGCGUAGAUAUGUGGAGGAAUACCGAUGGCGAAGGCGGCCUCCUGGACUAACACUGACGCUGAGGUACGAAAGCGUGGGGAUCAAACAGG
rnacentral:rRNA from 1 species